rnacentral:rRNA from 1 species
CCUACGGGUGGCUGCAGUGGGGAAUAUUGCACAAUGGGCGCAAGCCUGAUGCAGCCAUGCCGCGUGUGUGAAGAAGGCCUUCGGGUUGUAAAGCACUUUCAGCGGGGAGGAAGGCGUUAAGGUUAAUAACCUUGGCGAUUGACGUUACCCGCAGAAGAAGCACCGGCUAACUCCGUGCCAGCAGCCGCGGUAAUACGGAGGGUGCAAGCGUUAAUCGGAAUUACUGGGCGUAAAGCGCACGCAGGCGGUCUGUCAAGUCGGAUGUGAAAUCCCCGGGCUCAACCUGGGAACUGCAUUCGAAACUGGCUGGCUAGAGUCUUGUAGAGGGGGGUAGAAUUCCAGGUGUAGCGGUGAAAUGCGUAGAGAUCUGGAGGAAUACCGGUGGCGAAGGCGGCCCCCUGGACAAAGACUGACGCUCAGGUGCGAAAGCGUGGGGAGCAAACAGGAUUAGAUACCCCUGUAGUC